rnacentral:snRNA from 1 species
UCGCUUCGGCAGCACAUAUACUAAAAUUGGAACGAUACAGAGAAGAUUAGCAUGGCCCCUGCACAAGGAUGAUACGCAAAUUCGUGAAGCGUUAGGGAGGGAG